rnacentral:rRNA from 1 species
GUGAGGAAUAUUGCGCAAUGGAGGAAACUCUGACGCAGCCACGCCGCGUGCAGGAUGACACCCCUAUGGGGCGUAAACUGCUUUUAUACGAGAAGAACGCCUGGUUCUGCCAGGUUUGACGGUACCGUAUGAAUAAGCACCGGCUAACUCCGUGCCAGCAGCCGCGGUAAUACGGAGGGUGCAAGCGUUGUCCGGAAUCACUGGGUGUAAAGGGUGUGUAGGCGGACCUGUAAGUCAGAAGUGAAAUCCCACGGCUCAACCGUGGAACUGCUUUUGAUACUGCAGGUCUUGAGUAUCGGAGAGGUUGCUAGAAUUCGUGGUGUAGCGGUGAAAUGCGUAGAUAUCACGAGGAAUACCAGAGGCGUAGGCGGGCAACUGGACGAUUACUGACGCUGAGGCACGAAAGCGUGGGGAGCAAACAGG